rnacentral:rRNA from 1 species
AAUGAACGCUGGCGGCGUGCUUAACACAUGCAAGUCGAGCGAGGCGGAAGGGGGCAACUCCUUCCAGUCGAGCGGCGGACGGGUGAGUAACACGUGGGUAAACCUGCCCGGAAGUGGGGAAUACCUCGGGGAAACUCGAGCCAAUACCGCAUGACAUCUUCGGGACGAAAGUCCUGACGAUCAAAGCGGGGUCGCAAGAUCUCGCGCUACCGGAUGGGCCCGCGCCCGAUUAGCUAGUUGGGAGGUAACGGCUCACCAAGGCUUCGAUCGGUAACCGGCCUGAGAGGGCGAUCGGUCACACCGGAACUGAGACACGGUCCGGACUCCUACGGGAGGCAGCAGUGGGGAAUCUUGCGCAAUGGGCGAAAGCCUGACGCAGC